AACACGGUGGGAACGUGCCCUUCGGUUCGGAAUAACUCGGGGAAACUUGAGCUAAUACCGGAUACCCCCUUUUGGGGAAAGGUUUACCGCCGAAGGAUCGGCCCGCGUCUGAUUAUUUUGUUGGUGGGGUAACGGUCUACCAUGGCGACGAUGAAUAGCUGGUCUGAGAGGAUGAUCAGCCACUCUGGGACUGAGACACGGCCCACACCCCUACGGGAGGCAGCAGUGGGAAAUAUUGGACAAUGGGCGCAAGCCUGAUCCAGCCAUGCCGCGUGAGUGAUGAACGCCUUAGGGUUGUAAGGCUCUUUUGUCCGGGACGAUUAUAACGGUCCCGGAUGAAUAAGCCCCGGCUAACUUCGUGCCAGCACCCGCGGUCAUACAAAAGGGGCUAGCGUUGCUCGGAAUCUCUGGGCGUAGAGGGCGCGUAGGCAUACGAUUAAGUCGGGGGUGAAAGCCUGUGGCUCAUCCACAGAGUUGCCUUCGAUACUGGUUGGCUUGAGACCGGAAGAGGACAGCGUAUCUGCUAGUGUAGAGUGAAAUUCGUAUAUAUUCGCAAGAACACCAGUGGCAAACGCUGCUGUCUGGUCCGGUUCUGACGCUGAGGCGCGAACGCGUGGGGAGCACACAGGAUUAGAUCCCCUGGUAGUCCACGCCGUACACUAUAAAGGCCAGCCAUGGUCUGCUUGCAUGUCAGUGGCGCCCUCAACGCAUUAAGCAUUCCCCCUGGGGGAGUACGGUCGC
rnacentral:rRNA from 1 species